GAUGAAGAACGCAGCGAAAUGCGAUAAGUAGUGUGAAUUGCAGAAUUCAGUGAAUCAUCGAAUCUUUGAACGCACAUUGCGCCCUUUGGUAUUUCAAAGGGCAUGCCUGUUCGAGCGUCAUUUGUACCCUCAAGCUUUGCUUGGUGUUGGGCGUCUUGUCUCUAGCUUUGCUGGAGACUCGCCUUAAAGUAAUUGGCAGCCGGCCUACUGGUUUCGGAGCGCAGCACAAGUCGCACUCUCUAUCAGCAAAGGUCUAGCAUCCAUUAAGCCUUUUUUUUCAACUUUUGACCUCGGAUCAGGUAGGGAUACCCGCUGAACUUAAGCAUAUCAAUAAGCGGAGGA
rnacentral:misc_RNA from 1 species